rnacentral:rRNA from 1 species
UUUGGGGGGGAAUUUUCAACAAUGGGAGACAGCCUGACGGAGCAAGACCGCGUGAGGGAUGAAUGCUUAAUGGUUGUAAACCUUUUUUCUGUAGGAAGAUGAUGACGGUACUAGAGGAAUCAGCCUCGGCUAACUCCGUGCCAGCAGCCGCGGUAAUACGGAGGAGGCAAGCGUUAUCCGGAAUUAUUGGGCGUAAAGCGUCCGUAGGUGGCUAGACAAGUCAGCUGUUAAAGCGUGGGGCUUAACCUCAUAAAGGCGGUUGAAACUGUUUAGCUAGAGUGUGGUAGGGGCUACGGGAAUUCCCAGUGUAGCGGUGAAAUGCGUAGAUAUUGGGAAGAACACCGGUGGCGAAAGCGCUUAACUGGGCCUUCACUGACACUGAAGGGAACCGGAAAU